GAGGUGCUUGAGAACCAACAAGGUCAAAACCAAAAUCUCUUUCAGUCUCUUAUCAAUGGACACCUCGUGCCUGAGGAGGCCCACCCUGUUAGACGUUGUGGGCGCCACUUGGUGGCAGCUCCCUGAAUUACAGGCACAGGACCCAAAAGUAUAAUCAGUCCUGACCAAGGCUCUCUGCCAACCUGUCUUGAGAUCAUGACAAUGCCAUACUGAGAUUCCAGUGUACUUUCUAGGAGGGGAUAGAAAAUGCUCUUUCUUGGGUUAUAGGGAUGAACCUUUCCAAAGUGGCUUGCUUCAGCUAACAAACUGAAAUGCUGCAUUCCAGAUAAAAGAGUAGAAAAGAGUGUGUUUUCGGGGGGGCAGGGUGUGAACAGAAGCAUUCAAGGUUAACCCAGCCUAAGUGAUUUCCCACAACGUGAGGGGCUGGAGCAGCCUUUGGAUCUGGUGAAUGAUUAGUACAUUUUCAAGACACCAUAUUAUGCUCUUCAGACCACUUCAGCUACUGUCAAGAACUCAACAGCUGUGUCAACUCUGCCUAAGGAGGGGAAUUUAGAAUGUGCAUCACUUUGGCAAUAAACUUCAGAAGAUGCCUUAACACUAAGGAAGAAGAAGAAAGAAGGAAGAAGAAAGAAGGAAGAAGGAAGAAGAAGGAAGGAAGAAGAGGAGGAGGAGGAGGAGGAGGAGGAGAAAAGAAGACUUCUUUUAAAAACAUACUCAGUGGGAUCCCUGGGUGGCGCAGCGGUUUGGCGCCUGCCUUUGGCCCAGGGCGCGAUCCUGGAGACCCGGGAUCGAGUCCCACGUUGGGCUCCCGGUGCAUGGAGCCUGCUUCUCCCUCUGCCUGUGUCUCUGCCUCUCUCUCUCUCUCUCUAUCAUAAAUAAAUAAAAAUUAAAAAAAAACAUACUCAGUUACAAAUUGCUACUGGAAUAAUAGUAGGCUGUCAGAACCAAGAAGCAGUGCAGCCUUUCUGGGUUAUGGGUUUUGAAAGGAUUUGUUGCAUGGAAACCACCCAUGAGGCUUGAACCUAGAACUGGGGUUCUCCGCGUGGCCCUCUCAGCCUCCCUUGGAAGAGCUCCCAACCACAGAGGGAGCUGAGGACACUGCCUGGGCCAGGGGCAAAGGCAGAACAGGUGCCAUUCUUCCUUUCUUUCUCCUGAAGCCAUUGUUUUAUAUGGCUUCUUAAGAUGAUGUCCUCUCCUCCCAAACACAACUUACAGCUUAUAUAAUGCUACGUGGGAGAUAAGCUUCAAGAGGCUAAUCAAGCCCAAGGAAAAAAGGCCCUUCAAAAAGAGUUGAACUCUCCGUAGUUCAAAGUCUAACUCUGCUAUUCACUGUUGCAUGGUCUGUCAAAUCUCUAGGCCUCAGAUUUCUCGUACAAAAAAUGGGGAUUACCACUAGGUCUUAAACCAUCAGGUCAUCAUGAGGAAGUAUGGAAAAUAAUCCAAGUAAAAUGCUUAGCACAGUUUCUGGCACAUAAUGUUCAUUCAAUUAACUUAAUCUGUCUGGGUCUCAGUUUCCUAAGCUGUAAAAUGGACAUUAUUAUGGAUUGAAUGUUUGUGUCCCCCACCAAAAUCAUAGGCUGAAAUCCCAACUUUCAAUGUAAUAAUAUUAGGAGGUGGGGGGCCUUGGGGAUGUCAUUAGAUCAUGAGGGUGGAGCCAUCAUGUAUGGGAUUCAUGCCCGUCCCUUCUGCCAACUUAAUGAAACUGUGAUAAGAUUGGACAAAUGCUUAGUGCCAGACCUAGGAUUCCCCAGUUAAAGAUUCCAGAGUCCUCUAGUUGACCUGCAUUAGAAAGCACAUAAAAUGCCAUAUCUUUAAGAGAAAACGGGAGGAGGGGGUAUGAUCAUUUAAUAAAGACGAGUCUUGCUCUUUGUACA
ensembl:lncRNA